UCAAAAUCAAACCAGAAUCUUAUAUAAAAACGAAAAAAGGGAUAAAAUCUCUCUUUUCACUUAAAGCUCCUCUUCGGAGUUCACCCCUGCUGAGGUAGAGAGAGAGAGAGAGAAAGUGUGUGUACUUCCAACGGCGGGAAACGGAAUUCUGCCUAAAAUCUCAAUUUCUCCAAAAUCACCAAUCCCCAUUUUUCUCCAUUCUCAAAACCCUAAAAAUUUCAUCUUUUCUCUCACCUUCAAAUAUCUCUACCAUUGAUUAAUUUAUUCACCACAAUCUCUUCAAUGGCGUUUUCUGCUUCUCAAACCUUAAUCGAGGAGGAAAAUUGCCAUGAACAACACAACCACCAUCAACAAAUUCCAGAUUCGCGCAAAUUGGUUUCCGCAGAAGAUAUCGAUAGUCAUUACGCGGGUACUCCAAUUAGGUUUCUUCCUCUUCACCAUGUUUAUUCCGCUACUUCUCCUUGUGUUAGUGCUAGUGGUUCGUCCAAUGUUGUUUCUAAGAAGGUUCAAGCUCGUAAACUAACCCUAAUCGAGACUUCUUUUGAUGAUCAUAACCAUAACCUCCGAAUUCAAAAGGAGGAGGUGGAGAAUAAGGUUGCUGUAGAACCACAAUGCAAUAUGGAGCCUUUAUCCGAUUCACCUCGAGUCAUUCGGGUUUACUCUCGCCGCCGCAAGAAUAAACAUGCUGUCAAUUUGAACGCCCAGGAGAAACCAAUUUUAGUUAAAGAGGAGCCUGUUGAGGAGGAGGGUUUUGUUGGGGAUGCUUCGCUGGCUUCUCCCAAUAAAAGAAGAAGGAUUUCAAAAUUUGAGCUUCUUAGUUUAGGGGUUGAUUCCAGUGUUUUGUGUAGGCUAAAUGGACCUCGGUUGCGCGAAUCUCGAUUUCAUUAUAAUCAGAAGACUACUACUAAAUCAUCCGUGAAGAAAAAGCAGCAGAAUUCUUCUGUUAAGCGCAAGACUCAAGAUGAUUGGCAGGCGGAUAAAUGGUUCUUGUUAUUUUUUGAAGAUGCUGAUCCUAUCAAAUUUAUUGGAUUAAAAUGCCAGAUUUACUGGCCAUUGGAUGAUGUUUGGUACAAAGGUUCAAUAUCUGGCUAUGAUUCAGAUUCUAAAAAGCACAAUGUAAAGUAUGAAGAUGGUGAUGCAGAAGAGUUGAUUUUAUCGCAAGAACAAAUUAGAUUUCGUAUAUCUGGAGAAGAAAUGCAGAAACUAAACCUCAAAGGGAAAGAAUGUAUGGAUGAUGACGAUCCUGAUUACAGUCAGUUGAUUGGGCUAGCCGCUAGUGUGGAUGAGAGUCGUGAGCAUGAGCCUGGGGAUAUCAUUUGGGCAAAACUUACAGGUCAUGCUAUGUGGCCAGCAGUCAUUUUGGAUGAAUCACUCGUAAGUGACCGCAAAGGAUUAAAUAAAUGCUCAGGACGAAGAUCAGUUCCUGUGCAAUUCUUUGGAACUCAUGAUUUUGCAAGGGUACAGGUGAAACAAAUAGUAUCGUUUGUGAAAGGACUUCUUUCUUGUUUCCACUUAAAGUGCAAAUCUUCACGUUUUCUUCGGGGCCUGAAAGAAGCAAAAACGUACUUGAACGAGCAAAAACUUCCCAGAAGCAUGGAAAACAUGCAGUGUGAAUCCAAGGAUGUUCAAAUUGUUGAUUUGGAUGAAACUUUAAAGAAGGAUGAUGAUGUGCCAAAUUCAAGAGGGCGGUUUAAACCCUCUUCAAACAAAUCAUUGUUUGAAGGAUUACAAAAACUGCCUAAUGGUUCUUUGCCUAUUAAAAUAAAUUGGAGAGAUCUUGACAGAUGCAACGUUUGCCAUAUGGAUGAGGAAUAUGAGAACAACCUAUUCCUGCAGUGUGAUAAAUGCAGAAUGAUGGUUCAUGCCAGGUGCUAUGGGGAGGAGUCAGUUGAUGGUGGCCUUUGGUUGUGUAAUCUCUGUCGAGUUGGAGCACCUGAAUUUACUCCGCCUUGUCGUCUUUGCCCUGUUUUAGGUGGAGCAAUGAAGCCCACAACUGAUGGUCACUGGGCUCAUCUAGCUUGCGCUAUCUGGAUUCCUGAAACGUGCUUAGCUGAUAUCAAAAAGAUGGAGCCUAUUGACGGUAUUAGCAGGAUUAAUAAGGAUCGGUGGAAGCUUUUAUGUAGUAUCUGUGGUAUUCCGUAUGGAGCAUGCAUCCAGUGCUCUAACAACAAUUGUUAUGUUGCAUAUCAUCCGCUUUGUGCGCGUGUGGCUGGUCUUUGUGUUGAGCUUGAAGAUGAAGACAGGCUUCAUCUCAUUCCUGUAGAUGAAGACGAGGAGGAUCAGUGUAUUCGUUUACUCUCUUUCUGCAAAAGACAUAAGCAGCCAUCUAAGGAUCGUCCAAUCGUGGAUGAGAAAAAUGAAAACAGUUUUUGUGAGGAUUUGAGCUACACGCCCCCAAAUAAUGAUUCUGGAUGUGCACGCUGCGAGCCUUAUGAUUAUUCUGCUAGAAGAGGACGUAAAGAGCCCGAAGUCCUUGCCGCAUCAUCGGCUAAACGUUUAUUUUUGGAGAAUAGGCCACACUUGCUUGGUGGGUUCUACCCACACGAUUCUGUGGUUCGCAAAUCAGUGGAGGACAACACUUGUAAUGGUUCUAAGCUCUAUUCUGGGAUUCAAACUGGAUCGUUAAACCAGGAAGCUUUGCCAAGCAUACAUUCAAUGGCUGAUAAAUAUAGAUACAUGAGGAAUACCUUUAGAAGGAGAUUAGCAUUUGGGAAAUCUAAAAUACAUGGAUUUGGAAUCUUUGCUAAACUGCCACAUAAAGCUGGAGACAUGGUUAUAGAAUAUACCGGUGAACUUGUAAGACAGCCCGUGGCUGAUCGAAGAGAACGUCUUAUAUAUAAUUCAUUAGUGGGCGCUGGAACCUAUAUGUUCCGGAUAGAUGAUGAGCGUGUCAUUGAUGCUACUCGGGCAGGAAGUAUUGCUCAUUUGAUCAACCAUUCAUGUGAACCAAAUUGUUAUUCUAGAGUUAUAACUGUUUGUGGUGAUGAACACAUUAUGAUAUUUGCCAAAAGAGAUAUCAAACAAUGGGAAGAACUGACCUAUGAUUACAGGUUCUUUUCCAUAGAUGUAGAACUUUCAUGUAGUUGCGGUGCAAAAAGAUGUCGUGGAGUAGUAAACGAUACGGAAGCUGAAGAGCAGGCUGCUAAGCUGCAUGUUAAUCGCAGUGAGCUAAUUGAUUGGAAGGGGGAGUAAGAGCUGCCACUCAUAGCACCUUAGAAGAUUACACGAUCGACAAGUUGUUCCCUUGUGUGAGACGUUCCCUACAAUUGAUUGCAGCCCAUCUGAGAUUCUUACUGAUGGAGACAGCAUAUUUCUUCUGUAAAAUUAAUCUCAUCUGAGACUGCCUUACCUUGUUAGCAAGAAGUGCUACAGUUCCUUUUCAGCUUCUGAUUGUUUCGGCUUCUCAUGCUUGUAACUUAUCCUUAUUUUUCUUAUCUACUUAGGUUAAUGAGAACCGCAAAUCCUUCUCAUCUUCUUUGUCCUUUCUAAUUGUCACCGUUAGGUCCAUGACUCUAGCUUUUUUUAUGUACAAUUGUACAUAGACUUUACAUUUUUUUUAUCAUUCUAGAGUUUAAGGCUUUCAGCUUUUUUGUAGCAGUUUUACACACUUUAUGAAUCAGUUAGUGGGCAAUGGUUUCCAUUUGAGAGCGUGUGUGAUGAGUUAUGUGUUCAUAUAGCUACUGGUUGAAUAUGAAAUUCCAAUGUAGCUUCAUUGAGAAUGCGAACCAAGACAUUUCUUCCGGAUAUGUAAACUUCAUCCUAUUAGAUGGAUGUUAAUUUGAGAUAUUUAUUUUUAAUAGAAGAUAUUCUAUAUGGUUACUCUGAAUCCAAGGGGCAUGCUACACUUCAUAUCUUCUUGUUGAAAUAUGGUUUUAGCAGGAGAGCCUUAAAGAAUUGGAUCUUUUAGGAACAAGUAUUAUCUUUCUCGGUCAAAGUCAUGUAAUCGAAUUUCACCUAACCCUCUCCUCCCGUCAAUCUACUCUAUUAUCCAAAAAAAAGAGCCUCAAAAACCACUAGUGUGAUAGAAAUGUUGCAUUUUGGUAGUAUCUUUGAUUUUUAGAAAAGGGGAGCGCUUUCUAAAGAAUGUAUUAUGUAGGGAAGCUAUUGGAAAAAGAACCUGUGAAGAAUGAUCUCAAGAAAAUAAUUUUCAUUAUGUUAAGCCAUUUUAGUUUUUCUUUGGACGGUACGAGGGGUGUUUUCUUAACACUUUGACACUCCACCAUGGUGUUCACACUUGAAAGCUUCAUUUUGGAAAACUGAUCACAAAGUAGUCAAAUCAAGACCUGCAUAAACCAGUCAAUGUAAUUAUAACACCUUGACCUCGUUCGGGCUGGUGACUUACCGAUGGAGCUCGUAGACUACUCUUCAAACCAUAAUAAGCCUUAUUUGGCGUACUUUGUCAUCACUUUUGCGCCCCUUCAAAAUUUCCAAGGAAGUCAACCAUCUUUAGACUACUCUACACUAGACACACUAAGUUGUGGAGUUAACAAAUGAAAUCCCUUAAAAUAAUGUGCCUUGUUGACAUGAAUUGUACUAUUUCGUUUUUUUUUUAAUUCUAUUUCAAUCUAGAUCCAAAUAUGAGGUCUAACAUUCACUCCUACUUAGGUUCUCGAUGUCCUCAUUGCACCUACAAGCAUGGAAGAUAAAACGUGGAUGCAUUUGCUGAAACGGUCUUGUUGCGAAAAAUGGCUAUAACAUAGUACAAAGGCCAAUUCGUGGCCAGUAUGGUGUAAAUUUUUGAAAAAAAUCACAUAAAGCGGAGUGGCCAGGUAUCGCACAUAUCUCACUACUGCAGCUGUACCAAUCAGUAGGCAGUCGCCUUGUUUCUUGUUUUCGGGUUGCUAUGUUCGACGAGAAAAACCCAAUUGAUAUAUGUCAAAUGUCGUAACCCCAUAUAUUUUUUUCCGACUUUCUCUAAUUGCUGGUCGGAAACUUUAAUUCGUGCAAGGGACAAUCGGAAACCCACUUUUUAACAAGGCUUGUCGGAUUGGGGUUGAAUUCCUUUGCUGAUUUCACUCAUGUGGGUUGUGUUGUGUGUGUGGUAUUGGUACGAUUCUUCAAGCUCGUUUGGAUGAAGAUUCACUUCAUGAUUUUUUUCUGAAUUACUGUGGAGUUGUAUGAGACUAUGUGUUCCUCGAUUCAGUAUCAAGAUUCUUUACCCUCAUUGGAAUACACGUAUCAAAUGCUCCUUCAAGAGGAACGCUUAGAAAGUUUGUUAAGAACAUGUUGACAAGGUUGACAUUGGAACCUUCUUCGUGACAUUCGAAUCUCCUACCGGAGAUAAAGUUGCUUUGUUCCCAUAGCAAUCGUCGUGAUCAUAUGUCGACAUGGGUAUUUCGAAUGGUGGGAACAUCAAACUCGACAUGGGUGAAUCAUGUUGCAAGGGGGUUCCCAUUUUCAAGGGCAGUUAACAAAAGCCCAACAUGCCACAAUUUUGUUGCCCUUAAGGACGCAUAGUGGUGGUCAGUGCUUAUUUCUUAAGACUACUCUUGUGAGAGACCGUCUUCCGGUAAGAUAACCUCAAAACAAGAAACUUACAUGUGAAUAAUUUUUAUUAGUUGGAUAAUUUAAUCAUGUAUGGGGCAGAUUACACGGUGAAACCGCCUCUUACAAGAAUGUCUUUACUGUUAGUUCUUCAUAUAAUAUUCCGUCUAUUCAUAUAAUUUUCUGUGUUGAGUUUGUUGGGAUAUUCAAUGCAUAUUGGUUGAUACUUGAUUGUGUUGAGCUUAUUGUAAUUAGUCUUAGUCCGUAUAUAUUUUUUAUAUAUACUGUCUUGUAGUAGUUCCUAUGAGUAAUGUUGAUUACUCAUGUUGAAUUUUAUGCUUUUGCAUGGUAUUUUACAACCAUUGUGCAAAAUAUAAGAAUCCGUUAUAUGGCAUGGUCACGCUGUAAAUGUAUUCGAAAUUAGAUUGGUUUCAGGUCAAGUAUUUCAGGUCGAUUUAAAAUCAAAUUUGUAUUCAUUUUAGUUUUUACUUAAUUUUCAAUAUAUUUUUUAAAUCCAAUAGUUAGAUAUCAAAUUGUCAAAUAUAUUUUAAACAUUCCUAUUAUGUCCCAUAAAAUUUACACUAUCAUAUUUGUCCCAUAAUUAUUUUCAA